rnacentral:misc_RNA from 1 species
CGGGAAGAGAAGGAGUUAGCUCAGUGACCGAGGGUGAAGUUCUUCUCUCGGCUCCUCUGUGUUGAAGAAGCACGGGAUGCAGAGGCAUCAAUGGUAGCAUCAGCGGUUCAAGUGCAGUGGGUAGCAAUAAUUCAAAAUGAGGGUUCCAAACCUAGCUUUAUCUUUCGCUUGAGACUGGGCCCAACUUCAUACUCCGUACAAGCUGCAGGACUGGACUAUAAAAAGAAAGGUAUUCUAGGCGAAGUAUGCAGCUUAGUUUCGUAGCUCCGGAGAGUCAAG